GGGCAUUCUUAACCCUCCUGGCUGCUUUGCUCUUAGCAUCCAGGAUAAGAAUGAAUGCCAGAGAAAAUGUUGAUUUAUCCAAAAUGUUGAGCUGUUAUCCCGUGGCUCUUCAUUAUUUCACAUCUUCAACAUUA
rnacentral:snoRNA from 1 species